rnacentral:rRNA from 1 species
CAAUAGCGUAUAUUAAAGUUGUUGCGGUUAAAAGCUCGUAGUUGGAUUUCUGCUGAGGACGACCGGUCCGCCCUCCGGGUGAGCAUCUGGUUCGGCCUUGGCAUCUUCUUGGUGAACGUAUCUGCACUUGACUGUGUGGUGCGGUACCCAGGACUUUUACUUUGAGGAAAUUAGAGUGUUUCAAGCAGGCAUACGCCUUGAAUACAUUAGCAUGGAAUAAUAACAUAGGACUUCGGUUUUAUUUUGUUGGUUUCUAAGGCUGAGUAAUGAUUAAUAGGGACAAUUGGGGGCACUCGUACAAACUCGUCAGAGGUGGAAUUCUUGGAUUGAGUUUGUACGAACUACUGCGAAGCAUUUGCCAAGGAUGUUUUCAUUGAUCAAG